AUGCUGAACUAUUCCAACCCAUUUGCAACUUAUUCUCCAAUCCAAAGAUGCAGCUUUUCAUAGGAUUAAGUGCUAUGGAUUAUCAGAUCGAGUAACGUAACAGGCACAAUAGCAAUAUGGUGGUGGAGGUGCUGCUGAUUUGCAACAUAGACAUGGUGGAUACAUUGGCUUCUGAUAUAGUUCUGCAAAUACAUAAUCCAAAACCCAAAACAAUAAAAAUUAAAAGAAGAAAAUAAGCGAAGCCGGUCACCUAACAAGCAGUAGAUUUCAAGAGUUUAGUUUCUAUCGGUCUUCUAAUGUCAGCUCUCUGGUAGGCCAAUCGAUCACUGCUUGAUUGGCCGUAACUACAUGAUCGAUCUGACGAAGAUUCCCAUGUAGAUCUAUGACGUUUCUAUGCAUUAAUCGAUAUUUAAAAAUAUUUUACACUGUCAUGCACAAUAUUAAAUGCAUAAAGGAAUUAUAAGUAAACCGACAAUAUUAAAUAUAUAUAUAUUCACAGAAAUAGGUCAUUUAUAAAGUUAUUAUUGACAAAUUUCUACGCUAACAUUAAUUGUUAACCUGAUUAAAAUGGUAAGUAACCUGAUAUAUAGAUAAACUAUUAUUUAUAUAACUUAAAUCCAAAUUUUGAAAAGUACCUCUAUGACUGAAUCCAGCUUCCGCAGAGGGGAUCACGCCAGAAUGUGAAAUAAUCAUCACAAAAGUAACUAUGGCAAUGAGACGAAACCUUGAAAUUAAGCUU
rnacentral:lncRNA from 1 species